rnacentral:piRNA from 1 species
UGGGAGUCUUUUUCAUUUUGUGGAAUCUU